rnacentral:rRNA from 1 species
AUUGAACGCUGGCGGAAUGCUUUACACAUGCAAGUCGAACGGCAGCACGGGUGCUUGCACCUGGUGGCGAGUGGCGAACGGGUGAGUAAUGCGUCGGAACGUACCGAGUAAUGGGGGAUAGCGCAGCGAAAGUUGUGCUAAUACCGCAUACGCCCUGAGGGGGAAAGUGGGGGACCGCAAGGCCUCACGUUAUUCGAGCGGCCGACGUCUGAUUAGCUAGUUGGUGGGGUAAAGGCCUACCAAGGCGACGAUCAGUAGCGGGUCUGAGAGGAUGAUCCGCCACACUGGGACUGAGACACGGCCCAGACUCCUACGGGAGGCAGCAGUGGGGAAUUUUGGACAAUGGGCGCAAGCCUGAUCCAGCCAUUCCGCGUGAGUGAAGAAGGCCUUCGGGUUGUAAAGCUCUUUCGGCAGGAACGAAACGGCGGGCUCUAACAUAGCCUGUUACUGACGGUACCUGCAGAAGAAGCACCGGCUAACUACGUGCCAGCAGCCGCGGUAAUACGUAGGGUGCGAGCGUUAAUCGGAAUUACUGGGCGUAAAGCGUGCGCAGGCGGAUUGUUGAGCAAGACGUGAAAUCCCCGGGCUUAACCUGGGAAUGGCGUUUUGAACUGGCAGUCUAGAGUGCGUCAGAGGGGGGUGGAAUUCCACGUGUAGCAGUGAAAUGCGUAGAGAUGUGGAGGAACACCGAUGGCGAAGGCAGCCCCCUGGGAUGACACUGACGCUCAUGUACGAAAGCGUGGGUAGCAAACAGGAUUAGAUACCCUGGUAGUCCACGCCCUAAACGAUGUCAAC